rnacentral:lncRNA from 1 species
UAAGAAUAUAUAAAACCAUCAAAGGAGAACAUAAGAGAAGAGACAGAGCCAAGAGUGAUACAGCAUCGUCCACUUUCUCUCCUCUUAGUAUCACUGUCUCUCUCAACUCUCUCCUCUCUCCUAUCAGCAUAGCCCUCACUCUCAUAUCUCCUCCCGGCAUCACCCUCUCUCUAUCAUCUCUCCACAUCCAGCAUCGGCCAUUGUCUCCUCUCUCAUUCAGUAUCGCCCGUUCAUUUUCUGAGAAUCGCCCAUUGCCUCCUCUCACGUUCAGCAUCACAUGUAACUCCUCCUCA